UCGGGAAACUUUUGCAAUAUACGCAAGUAUGACAAAGCAAGCCAGAGUGCUAUUCUUAUAAUUAGAACAGCUUUUGUGAGAUGUAAAAAGUCUCACGAAUAAGGACCGGGCAAGACUGGUGCCAGCCGCCGCGGUAAUCCCAGCGGUCCGAGUCGCAGCCACAAUUAUUGGGUCUAAAAUAUCCGUAGCUUGCUUUACAAGUCUCUUGUGAAAUCUGGCCUCUUAAGGGUCGGGCGUGCAAGAGAUACUGUUUAGCUAGAGACCGGGAGACGUAAGGAGUACAGAUAGGGUAGCGGUAAAAUGCGUUGAUCCUUUCUGGACUAACAAUAGCGAAGGCACCUUACGAGAACGGAUCUGACAGUGAGGGAUGAAGGCUAGGGGCGCAAAGUGG
rnacentral:rRNA from 1 species